rnacentral:rRNA from 1 species
AGGGCGCAUGGUGAAUGCCUUGGCACUAGGAGCCGAUGAAGGACGGGACUAACACCGAUAUGCUUCGGGGAGCUGUACGUAAGCUAUGAUCCGGAGAUUUCCGAAUGGGGCAACCCAGCAGUUUUAAUCAACUGUUACCACUAGAUGAAUUCAUAGUCUAGUUGGAGGUAAACGCUGUGAACUGAAACAUCUCAUUAGCAGCAGGAAUAUAAAGAAAUUUCGAUUCCCUAAGUAGCGGCGAGCGAACGGGGAACAGCCCAAACCAAAGUGCUUGCACUUUGGGGUUGUAGGACUGAACAUUUGAGUUACCAAAGAACUUGAUAGUCGAAGGAUUUGGGAAAAUCCGCCAUAGAUGGUGAUAGCCCAGUAGAUUAAAUCAAAUUCUCUCAGUUCAGGAUCCUGAGUACGGCGGAACACGUGAAAUUCCGUCGGAAUCCGGGAGGACCAUCUCCCAAGGCUAAAUACUACCUAGUGACCGAUAGUGAACCAGUACCGUGAGGGAAAGGUGAAAAGCACCCCGGGAGGGGAGUGAAAUAGUUCCUGAAACCAUGUGCCUACAAUAAGUCAGAGCGCGUUAAUGCGUGAUGGCGUGCCUUUUGUAGAAUGAACCGGCGAGUUAUGAUCCCGUGCAAGGUUAAGACUAAAAAGUCGGAGCCGUAGCGAAAGCGAGUCUGAAAUGGGCGUUUUGAGUACGAGGUUAUAGACCCGAAACCAGGUGACCUAUCCAUGUCCAGGUUGAAGGUGCGGUAAAACGCACUGGAGGACCGAACCCGUGUAAGUUGAAAAUUGCUGGGAUGAGGUGUGGAUAGCGGUGAAAUUCCAAACGAACUUGGAGAUAGCUGGUUCUCUCCGAAAUAGCUUUAGGGCUAGCCUCGGAAUUAGGAUCAUGGAGGUAGAGCACUAUUUGGACUAGGGGCCCGUCUUGGGUUACUGAAUUCAGAUAAACUCCGAAUGCCAUUGAUUCAUAUCCGGGAGUCAGACGAUGAGUGAUAAGAUCCACCGUCGAAAGGGGAACAGCCCAGACCAUCAGUUAAGGUCCCUAAAUGUAUGCUAAGUGGAAAAGGAUGUGGAGUUGCAUAGACAACUAGGAUGUUGGCUCAGAAGCAGCCACCAUUUAAAGAGUGCGUAAUAGCUCACUAGUCGAGUGAUCCUGCGCCGAAAAUGUACCGGGGCUAAGCAUACUACCGAAACCAUGGAUGCGACCAUUAGGUCGCGUGAUAGGAGAGCGUUCUAAGGGCGGUGAAGCAAGAUCGUGAGGACUUGUGGAGCGCUUAGAAGUGAGAAUGCCGGUAUGAGUAGCGAAAGAUAGGUGAGAAUCCUAUCCACCGAAUGACUAAGGUUUCCUGGGGAAGGCUCGUCCUCCCAGGGUUAGUCGGGACCUAAGUCGAGGCCGAGAGGCGUAGACGAUGGAUAACAGGUUGAGAUUCCUGUACUAGUUAAGUGCGUUUGAGCAAUGGAGGGACGCAGGAGGCUAAGAUGUGCAUUCUGUUGGAUUAGAAUGUCCAAGCAGUAAGUCUUGUGAAGAGUCAAAUGCUUUUCACUUUAAGGACAAGCUGUGAUGGGGAGCGAAAUUUAGUAGCGAAGCGUCUGAUGUCACACUGCCGAGAAAAGCUUCUAGUGAGUACUUAACUACCCGUACCGCAAACCGACACAGGUAGUCGAGGAGAGAAUCCUAAGGUGAGCGAGUGAACUCUCGUUAAGGAACUCGGCAAAAUGACCCCGUAACUUCGGGAGAAGGGGUGCUGAUCGCAAGAUCAGCCGCAGUGAAUAGGCCCAGGCGACUGUUUAUCAAAAACACAGGUCUCUGCAAAAUCGUAAGAUGACGUAUAGGGGCUGACACCUGCCCGGUGCUGGAAGGUUAAAAGGAUGGGUUAGCUUCGGCGAAGCUCAGAAUUGAAGCCCCAGUAAACGGCGGCCGUAACUAUAACGGUCCUAAGGUAGCGAAAUUCCUUGUCGGGUAAGUUCCGACCCGCACGAAAGGCGUAACGAUCUGGGCACUGUCUCAACGAGAGACUCGGUGAAAUUAUAUUGUCCGUGAAGAUGCGGACUACCCGCGACAGGACGGAAAGACCCCAUGGAGCUUUACUGUAGCUUGAUAUUGAGUGUUUGUACAGCUUGUACAGGAUAGGUAGGAGCCAUAGAAACCGGAACGCUAGUUUCGGUGGAGGCGUUGGUGGGAUACUACCCUCGCUGUAUGACCACUCUAACCCGCACCACUAAUCGUGGUGGGAGACAGUGUCAGGUGGGCAGUUUGACUGGGGCGGUCGCCUCCUAAAAAGUAACGGAGGCGCCCAAAGGUUCCCUCAGAAUGGUUGGAAAUCAUUCGCAGAGUGUAAAGGCACAAGGGAGCUUGACUGCGAGACAGACAGGUCGAGCAGGGACGAAAGUCGGGCUUAGUGAUCCGGUGGUACCGUAUGGAAGGGCCAUCGCUCAACGGAUAAAAGCUACCCUGGGGAUAACAGGCUUAUCUCCCCCAAGAGUCCACAUCGACGGGGAGGUUUGGCACCUCGAUGUCGGCUCAUCGCAUCCUGGGGCUGUAGUCGGUCCCAAGGGUUGGGCUGUUCGCCCAUUAAAGCGGUACGCGAGCUGGGUUCAGAACGUCGUGAGACAGUUCGGUCCCUAUCCGUCGCGGGCGUAGGAAAUUUGAGAGGACCUGUCCUUAGUACGAGAGGACCGGGAUGGACAUACCUCUGGUGUACCAGUUGUGCCGCCAGGCGCAUCGCUGGGUAGCUACGUAUGGAUGUGAUAAACGCUGAAAGCAUCUAAGUGUGAAACACACCUCGAGAUGAGAUUUCCCAUUCCUUUAU